UUACGGUCACAUCACGCUGAAACCCCGGUUCCCGUACGAUCACCAAAGUUCAGCAACGUCAAGCCUGGUCAGCACUUUGAUGCAUGACCGCUUGGGAGUGCUAGGUGCU